UACGUAGGGUCGAGACGUUGUCCGGAAUCAUUGGGCGUAAAGAGCGUGUAGGCGGCUUGUUAAGUCUUGCGUGAAAUCUCGGGGCUCAACCCCGAGCGGUCGUGAGAAACUGGCAGGCUAGAGUGCGGGAGAGGAGAGUGGAAUUCCUGGUGUAGCGGUGAAAUGCGCAGAUAUCAGGAAGAACACCCGUGGCGAAGGCGGCUCUCUGGAACGCAACUGACGCUGAGACGCGAAAGCGUGGGAGCAAACAGG
rnacentral:rRNA from 1 species